AACAAACGCUGGCGGCGUGCCUAAUACAUGCAAGUCGAACGGGGAAAGCUUUCGGGUGAGUACUAGUGGCGCACGGGUGAGGAACGCGUGGAUAAUCUGCCUUAGAGUGGGGGAUAACUAGUCGAAAGAUUAGCUAAUACCGCAUAAGACCACGAGAGCUGCGGCUUUUGAGGUCAAAGGUUUUUCGCUCUAAGAUGAGUCCGCGUAAGAUUAGCUAGUUGGUGAGGUAACGGCUCACCAAGGCGACGAUCUUUAACUGGUCUGAGAGGAUGAUCAGUCACACUGGAACUGAGACACGGUCAAGACUCCUACGGGAGGCAGCAGUAGGGAAUAUUGCACAAUGGAGGAAACUCUGAUGCAGCGACGCCGCGUGAGUGAUGAAGGCCUUCGGGUCGUAAAGCUCUGUCGCAGGGGAAUAACACAAUGAAGGUACCCUGUAAGAAAGGAUCGGCUAACUUCGUG
rnacentral:rRNA from 1 species